rnacentral:ribozyme from 13 species
UUUCUUGUUUUUCUGUUUUUGUUUUUUUUUUUCCCCUUCAUUUUUGUUGUUUUUGUUUUUCAGUCCCCCCUCCCUCCCCCACAAAAAGAGAGAGUGUGUGGUGAAAUAGAGAGAGAGAGAAUGGAUUUUCGUUGUUUCUUGGUGAUUGU